CAAUAGCGUAUAUUAAAGUUGUUGCGGUUAAAAAGCUCGUAGUUGGAUUUCUGCUGAGGACGAUCGGUCCGCCCUCUGGGUGAGUAUCUGGCUCGGCCUUGGCAUCUUCUUGGAGAACGUUGCUGCACUUGACUGUGUGGCGCGGUAUCCAGGACUUUUACUUUGAGGAAAUUAGAGUGUUUCAAGCAGGCGCACGCCUUGAAUACAUUAGCAUGGAAUAAUAAGAUAGGACCUCGGUUCUAUUUUGUUGGUUUCUAGAGCUGAGGUAAUGAUUAAUAGGGAUAGUUGGGGGCAUUCGUAUUUAAUUGUCAGAGGUGAAAUUCUUGGAUUUAUGAAAGACGAACUUCUGCGAAAGCAUUUACCAAAGAUGUUUUCAUUAAUCAAGAACGAAAGUUAGGGGAUCGAAGAUGAUUAGAUACC
rnacentral:rRNA from 1 species